rnacentral:rRNA from 1 species
AGGGUUUGAUUAUGGCUCAGGACGAACGCUGGCGGCGCGCCUAACACAUGCAAGUCGAACGAGAGAUGAGGAGCUUGCUCUUCAGAUCGAGUGGCGAACGGGUGAGUAACGCGUGAGGAACCUGCCUCAAAGAGGGGGACAACAGUUGGAAACGACUGCUAAUACCGCAUAAGCCCACGGCUCGGCAUCGAGCAGAGGGAAAAGGAGUGAUCCGCUUUGAGAUGGCCUCGCGUCCGAUUAGCUGGUUGGUGAGGUAACGGCCCACCAAGGCGACGAUCGGUAGCCGGACUGAGAGGUUGAACGGCCACAUUGGGACUGAGACACGGCCCAG